AACGUAGGAGCCAAGCGUUAUCCGAAUUUACUGGGCGUAAAGCGCAAGCAGGCGGCUUGAUAAGUUGGCUGUGAAAUCUCCCGGCUCAACUGGGAGGGGACGGUCAAGACUGUCAGGCUGGAGGCAGGUAGAGGGAGGUGGAAUUCCCGGUGUAGUGGUGAAAUGCGUAGAUAUCGGGAGGAACACCAGUGGCGAAAGCGGCCUCCUGGACCUGACCUGACGCUGAGGUGCGAAAGCUAGGGGAGCGAACGGG
rnacentral:rRNA from 1 species